CAAAGUUUCAGUGCAUUCCGUUGAUGUAGACGGCUUGAAAACGGAAACAAGUAUGCCGUCUCACUGUGCUGCAUACAAUUACACACUGCAUCGUACGAUUGAGACAAGGAAACUUGGAAUGACUUUUCAUAGGUUUCCCAGAGACUAUGGGUUGAGGAGGAAUUGGAAGUUUGUCGGCUUAGACCUGUGUCAUUCCAUCAGUGUUAAACUUCCCGGCUCAUCUUGGAAGAGUACGUGCCAGAAAGACCACGACCAAGCAGCCUUGAGAUCUUAGGCAGCGUCUCCCUCAGGUCCCUCUCUAUCUCCCCACACAUCCACCAACCACUGGAACACAUCUCCAAAGUUCUGCCGGGCCAGCUCAGCUUCCCCUCAGAAGAAGUGCCGCCACCUGCCAGAUGAAGGAGCCUUUUGAGAGGCAGCUGGCAUCGUGAUUGGACUGUACUUUGGUCUGUUCCAAUCCAGCUUCAGCUCCAGAGACGGCAGGCGGGACGAGUCAACGGAGGCCGGGUGGACGAAGGCAUGCAGCUGAGUACAAUCCAGAAAACAACAGAGGAGGAGUGCAGCGGCCUAGUGGCAAAACAAACAGAGUAGCAUGACAAAAGAACUACAGACUCUUCACAACCUGCUCAAACUCUUGGUACAGGACCUCACCACACGAGUCAAGAAGGUUUCCGUUUCAUUUCUACUCUGAAGC